UACGAAGGGGGCAAGCGUUAAUCGGAAUUACUGGGCGUAAAGCGUGCGCAGGCGGUGAUGUAAGACAGGUGUGAAAUCCCCGGGCUUAACCUGGGAACUGCAUUUGUGACUGCAUCGCUGGAGUGCGGCAGAGGGGGAUGGAAUUCCGCGUGUAGCAGUGAAAUGCGUAGAUAUGCGGAGGAACACCGAUGGCGAAGGCAAUCCCCUGGGCCUGCACUGACGCUCAUGCACGAAAGCGUGGGGAGCAAACAGG
rnacentral:rRNA from 1 species